CUUUUACCAAAAUUGGUUAAUGAAAGGUCUUAUAUUCCGUUAAGGUCUGGUCAUAAUAUUAGUCAAUAUAAGUGUAGAACUGAAAAAUUUAAGAAAUCAUUCUUUCCUUCCACGAUUUCGUUGUGGAAUACUCUUGAUAUUGACAUUAGAAAUUCAACUUCUCUUUCAAACUUUAAGUUGAAAAUAAAUAAGAUUUAUCAUCCGCUUUGUUAUAAUAAAUGGCUAAAUUUUUUUCUUACGAGGAAGGCAUCUGUUUUAUACAUACAAGACUAAGAUUAGGUUUUUGUGCGCUUAAUGACUAUUUGUAUAUAAUUAAUUGUUGUAAUUCUCCUUUAUGUAUAUGUUGCCAUCAA